GACGAACGCUGGCGGCGUGCUUAACACAUGCAAGUCGAACGAAGAGCGAUGGAAGCUUGCUUCUAUCAAUCUUAGUGGCGAACGGGUGAGUAACGCGUAAUCAACCUGUCCUUCAGAGGGGGACAACCGUUGGAAACGACCGCUAAUCCCGCAUACGAUCUAAUCUCGGCAUCGAGGAUGGAUGAAAGGUGGCCUCUACAUGUAAGCUAUCACUGAAGGUGGGGUAUGCGUCUGAUUAGCUAGUUGGGGGGGUAACGGCCCACCAAAGCGAUGAUCAGUAGCCGGUCUGAGAGGAUGGACGGCCAAAAUGGGACUGAGACACGGCUCAGACUCCUACGGGAGGGAGCAGUGGGGGAUCUUCCGGAAUGGACGAAAGGCUGACGGGGCAACGCCGCGUGGGUGAUGACGGCCUUCGGGUUGUAAAGCUCUGUUAAUCGGGACGAAAGGCCUUCUUGCGAAUAGUGAGAAGGAUUGACGGUACCGGAAUAGAAAGCCACGGCUAACUACGUG
rnacentral:rRNA from 1 species